rnacentral:rRNA from 1 species
CUUUCUUCUCCUGAGGAGAGAAUGAUCGGCGGAGCAAUCUGCUGCUUGGGGAUGGGCCUGCGGCGCAUUAGCUAGUUGGUGGGGUAACGGCCCACCAAGGCGACGAUGCGUAGCCGACCUGAGAGGGUGAACGGCCACACUGGGACUGAGACACGGCCCAGACUCCUACGGGAGGCAGCAGUAGGGAAUCUUCCGCAAUGGGCGCAAGCCUGACGGAGCAACGCCGCGUGAGUGAUGAAGGUUUUCGGAUCGUAAAGCUCUGUUGCCAGGGAAGAACGUCCGGUA